AUUGAACGCUGGCGGCAGGCCUAACACAUGCAAGUCGAGCGGUAACAGAGAGAAGCUUGCUUCUUUGCUGACGAGCGGCGGACGGGUGAGUAAUACUUGGGAACUUGCCUCUAGGCGGGGGACAACCACUGGAAACGGUGGCUAAUACCGCAUAAUGUCUACGGACCAAAGUGGGGGACCUUCGGGCCUCACACCUAGAGAUGGGCCCAAGCGGGAUUAGCUAGUUGGUGAGGUAAAGGCUCACCAAGGCGACGAUCCCUAGCUGUUCUGAGAGGAUGAUCAGCCACACUGGGACUGAGACACGGCCCAGACUCCUACGGGAGGCAGCAGUGGGGAAUAUUGCACAAUGGGCGCAAGCCUGAUGCAGCCAUGCCGCGUGUGUGAAGAAGGCCUUCGGGUUGUAAAGCACUUUCAGUGGUGAGGAAGGUCAGUAAGUUAAUAGCUUGCUGAAUUGACGUUAGCCACAGAAGAAGCACCGGCUAACUCCGUGCCAGCCGCCGCCGUAACAC
rnacentral:rRNA from 1 species